CGUGAAACCCAAAAACGAAUAGGCCUUUGAAAUCUGGUUGAAAAUUCGUCGACGUUAUAUAAUUCGUAUUGAUUUUUCGAACGCACCCCGGUCGUCCGUCGGUGGACUUUUCGCGAUUUUCUAAAAUAUUUUCGACUCGUUAUUUACGACCGAAAGCGCGAAAAAAUCGUAUUCCAUACAAUUUUUGUUUUCCGUCUGACGACCGUAAUUUUUUAGAUA